CUCCUGAAACAAAACAAACAUUAAAAUGUCAGACACGACAACGUGAAUGGCUUACAGCUGUCAGAUUUUAAUCCAACGUAUUAGUCACGUUAUAAACGCUGUUUGCCUUCGUGGCCUAAUGGGUAAGACGUGCCGUGUAGUCAUGUCACUUUCCCGGUCGAUACUCGGUCAGUUGCCAAUUUUUCUAACUAAUUGCGUGCCAAAUCGUGUUGAACGAGAUCCACGAUGAAGGAAUAACAUGGUUUUAUAAAUUUUCAGUCCAGACGUAUAAUUGUGAAUUGAGGAGGUUUUUUUUUUCAGUGAAUUUGUUCAAUAGUGACAGGCUAGAACCAGUAGCCUAUGGUAGCGUUUGGAGUCUAUGCCAAAAAAGCAGGGAUUUAAUAAUGGUGAAGAAAACGUUACUCAUAGAUUGAUAACUAGAAGUAGCUCACCUCCCAUAGAUACAUAUAGAUGCUCGCUCGUGUACAACAAUACAGAGCCGGCUAAAGAUCAAGUUCCGAAAAGAGCUUAUCAUGGACUAUAUAGUCUGGCAAAGACUUUUGUCAAUCGACUUUCACUACUAGAUGCUAGCAUUAUUUUUUAAGCUCCUAAUAAAUGUCAAAGCGUCGCCAAAGGCGCCACUGACAAAAAAAACAGAUGAAAAUAUAGAAGGACUGGGUGAAAAGGCUGAACUACUUGUUGUAAUUCCGUCCGCACGGGUACGUACCACCACCCCGUCUAUUUCAGCCGUGAUGUAGUAAUGCGUUUCGGUUUGAAUGGUGGGGCAGCCGUUGUAACUAUACUAAGACCUUAGAACUCAUAUCUCAGGUUGAGUGGCGGCAUUUACGUUGUAGAUAUCUAUGGGCUCCGUUAGCCACUUAGCACCGGGUGGGCCGUGAGCUCGUCAGCCCAUCGAGACAAUAAAAUAAAAAAACGAAAACUUAUAUUUCUCGUCAACUCAAUUCGGGAGCUUUCAACAUGCGACUGACGAAAGCGCCCUCGUUCAUAAAUAAAUACAAUCAAGGAUAUUAUUUUUAAAAUUAAUAGAAUUCCAAACGUAACGGCCGGUUAAUAAAUGGGAUUGCUUUUAGCAAAAAAAAAUGGUUGACAACACAUUUCUAAAUAUAAAAUAUUUUUUAAUAUUAAGAACACGUUGCUCACGGAAUAUCACGUAGUGGAAAAUUAAUUGGAACUAGAAGUUAUUCGUAAAUUGUACUAAUUAUGUAGUUGUCUUACGUCUUUCACGUCACGGGAUAAAAUGAGGAAUAGCCGCGAUCUACGCUUAGACAUAAGAUUGACUUUUUUUUUUAAUAAAGGCGGGAACGCUUUCAUUCCCAUCAAAUUGUAUGUUAUAGAAUGUAGGCAAGGAACAGCCAAAUCAAGAGAACUGCGGGAUCCUAUUUUACAACACUAUUGCAAAAUUCACUGAAGACGCUGUUGGAAAACUGGGUCGGAGGAUAAAAAGAUUCGUAGCUCACCACAGGUGUAAAUCAUACGACGGAUACAAAUAUAAAAAAAAAAAAUUUCCAUGAUUAACCGAGGUUGAAUUGAGACUUCGCGAUCCUAUAAGAAUAUAAAUAAAUGUAUAUAUAAAUGUAUAACAAAAAGUUAAAUUAUUUCAGCGAAGAGAAUGGUGUUUCAAACGUCACGCCUUUUUUAUUGCUUAGACAGGUGAACAAGCUCACGGCCCACCUGAUGUUAGGAGGUUACUGGAACCCAUAGACAGCAACAAUAUAAAUGCCUCCCCCAUCUUGAGACAUGAGUUCUAAGUCUCAAUUUUAAAGUAGCAGCGUCUGCCCUACCCAUCAACCCGGAUCGCAAUAUUGCUUCGCAUCAAAAAUGAGAUAUAAGCCUGAAAAAAUAAUGCUGUCAUUAUGCUUGUAAAUAACCUUAAGAAAAGUCUCGUAAGGUUUAUAUUUGAAUAUUUUACUGAGACAUAUAACCGUAUGGUUCUGUAGUAAUAUCUUACUGGAAAAGAUCAAGAGAAGUAGUUUUAUGUGUGUCGUUAACCCGUUGAGAGUUUCGUCCGUGUAAUUUGACAUUUGCACGGCACUAAAUAACAUUAGAACGGCAUUGUUCGUUUUAUUUUUACGACAAACAUUACUGUUCCAGUGGGAAUAGUUAGUGUCUACUGUCUUUACAUUUCUAAGUAGGCUGAAUGUUUGUUGUUGCAAGGGCUCCCUUUGCCUUCUAACUUUUUUGUUUGUUCUGUUUUGAUGUGUUAUGGCUGUGACAGAUGUUUUUGGCGGGAAGUUGAAGAGCGAUGUCGUAUUAAUUUUGUUUUUUGUUUUGCUAAUCUUGUAUUUAUUCAGAUAUCGGAUUACUCAUCAGUAGGUAAUUUUGAAAGUACACAAUAAGCGUAAGACAAUGAGAUAAAAUAAGAAAUAAGACAGGCUUUUCGGGUCUUAGCAAGAAAUUCGUGGAAGUUUUGGUUCGUAUAGCUAGUAUCGAGUUCAAAACCGGUCGGAAAACUUAUGCCAAUUCCUUAUGCAACAUGAUGAAAAGACACGCUGCGCCGGCCCCACAUAACGUGGGAUAAGAGGAUGAAGAAGAAGAAACAAACAAACAAGAAUCUCCGACUUCUCCGAGUUCUUCUACUGCAGUAGUAAGAAUGGGUAAGAAAUGGACGAGGAGAGCUGAAGAUUGGCCUUCAUGGCGUAAAUUAGCAGAGGCGCGUAUGCAGCAGUGGGCAACUGUCGGCUGAUGAUGCAGAAUGGACCAUAAGCCUGGGUUCUUGGGUGCGAUACGAAUGUCGGUUGUGAUGUAGGAUAUGAUAUCUUGUUAUUGAACGUUAAUAUCCUGUGCUGAUGAAUUGAUAUUUGUGUUUUAUUGAUUUAGAUUGGCAGACGACCUUGCGGCCCACCUGAUGUUAGCUGGCCACCGAAGCUCAUAGUAUAUAUGUGCUUAAGCUGAAAUACCCCCGCACACCUUAAAACCUGAGGUGAAAGUUUAGUCUAUAAUAUUUUAAUAAGACUACUCUGUCAUUGGAAACUGGAAACCAUGAUUACUUUACGGCAGCAAUAUGCAAAAUACUGGUAACAACUCGGACUAUUUAUACCAAAACUAGAAGGGACAACAUUACGAUUGACGAUUACGGUGAUUAUCCAGAAGACUUAACAACUCCGUGUUACUACUACCAAACUAUUCAGUUCCUAUUUUUCCAUUAGCCGUCCGUGGUGAUUGAAUCUUUUAUUAAUGGGAAUUUAAAAUCUAGCUUUCUCCCCCUAAUUCUUAUCUUGAGUAAUGAUAUCCGUUUGAUUAAAAAUAAAGAUUGACCAAUAUAAUCCAAGAUUCUCUAGGGUGCGGCGUCUACUGCAGAUUUCUUCGUUUGAAAUCUUUUUAAAUAUUUUUUUUUAUUCUUUAUAAUCAGUAAGCCAUAAACAAGUAUAGACGUUUUUAUUUUAUUAGCACUUAUUAUGUUGGACGGCGAACAAUUGAUAGAAGUUUAACCAUCGCCCAUAUCAUUAUCUAUCUAGGAACACUAAUUUAAUAUAAAUUUCAUUGCACCUACCUCUAUUUACUCUAUUACUAUUUACCUUUGGCUGACUAGUAGAGAAUGCCUUAAGUUAAGUCCGCCAAUGUAAAUUUUACAUCAUCAUCAUCAUCAUCAUCAGCCUUUAUCUGCCCACUGCUGGACAUAGGCCUUCCCCAAUGCCUUCCACAUAAUGCGGUCCUCCGCCUUCCGCAUCCAACGACUUCCCGCCGUGCGCACUAAGUCGUCAGUCCAAAUUUUACAUGAAGUGUAAUAAAUAAGAAAUAAAUCAAAAUAAAUAAAAUACCGCUAGACAUCAAUUAAAUGGUCGCAAUAGUUUUUGAUGAUAUCAAUUAGCCAUAUGGACCGCGAUAGGUAGCUUUACAGAUUUAUUUCAAUAAACAACUUUGACCGUAACACGA